rnacentral:rRNA from 1 species
UGGGGAAUCUUGGACAAUGGGGGCAACCCUGAUCCAGCCAUGCCGCGUGAGUGAUGAAGGCCUUAGGGUCGUAAAGCUCUUUCGCCUGUGAAGAUAAUGACGGUAGCAGGUAAAGAAACCCCGGCUAACUCCGUGCCAGCAGCCGCGGUAAUACGGAGGGGGUUAGCGUUGUUCGGAAUUACUGGGCGUAAAGCGCACGUAGGCGGACCAGAAAGUUGGGGGUGAAAUCCCGGGGGCUCAACCCCGGAACUGCCUCCAAAACUAUUGGUCUAGAGUUCGAGAGAGGUGAGUGGAAUUCCAAGUGUAGAGGUGAAAUUCGUAGAUAUUUGGAGGAACACCAGUGGCGAAGGCGGCUCACUGGCUCGAUACUGACGCUGAGGUGCGAAAGUGUGGGGAGCAAACAGGAUUAGAUACCCCUGGUAGUCCACACCGUAAAACGAUGAAUGCCAGUCGUCGGGUAGCAUGCUAUUCGGUGACACACCUAACGGAUUAAGCAUUCCGCCU